AGAUAUUGAUGAGUGUGCUGAGGGAAAGCACUACUGCAGAGAGAACACCAUGUGUGUCAAUACUCCAGGAUCCUUCAUGUGCAUCUGCCACACUGGAUACAUCCGGAUCGAUGACUAUUCCUGCACAGAACGUGAUGAGUGUACGACAGGUCUUCACAGCUGUGAUGAAAAUGCCAUCUGUUUCAACACGGUGGGGGCCACAGCUGCUCCUGUAAACCAGGCUAUGUAGGCAACGGGACAGUCUGCGGAGCUUUGUGUGAUGGUUUGUGCCAGAAUGGAGGAUCCUGUGUAAACCCGGACACCUGUAUCUGUCAACAGGGGUUCACUGGGAAGAGAUGUGAGACAGGUAAGAACACAG